GCCCCGGUAGCCUAGUGGUUAGAGCGUCUGCCUCGAAUGCGGGAGGUCGUGGGUUCUAUCCCCGGUCGAAUCA